GCGAAGGUGCUUGCACCUUUCAAGCGAGUGGCGAACGGGUGAGUAACACGUGGAUAACCUGCCUCAAGGCUGGGGAUAACAUUUGGAAACAGAUGCUAAUACCGAAUAAAACUUAGUAUCGCAUGAUACAAAGUUGAAAGGCGCUACGGCGUCACCUAGAGAUGGGUCCGCGGUGCAUUAGUUAGUUGGUGGGGUAAAGGCCUACCAAGACAAUGAUGCAUAGCCGAGUUGAGAGACUGAUCGGCCACAUUGGGACUGAGACACGGCCCAAACUCCUACGGGAGGCUGCAGUAGGGAAUCUUCCACAAUGGGCGAAAGCCUGAUGGAGCAACGCCGCGUGUGUGAUGAAGGCUUUAGGGUCGUAAAGCACUGUUGUAUGGGAAGAAAUGCUAGAAUAGGGAAUGAUUCUAGUUCGACGGUACCAUACCAGAAAGGGACGGCUAAAUACGUGCCAGCAGCCGCGGUAAUACGUAUGUCCCGAGCGUUAUCCGGAUUUAUUGGGCGUAAAGCGAGCGCAGACGGUUGAUUAAGUCUGAUGUGAAAGCCCGGAGCUCAACUCCGGAAUGGCAUUGGAAACUGGUUAACUUGAGUGUUGUAGAGGUAAGUGGAACUCCAUGGGUA
rnacentral:rRNA from 1 species